rnacentral:rRNA from 1 species
AUUGAACGCUGGCGGCAGGCCUAACACAUGCAAGUCGAACGAGUGGCGGACGGGUGAGUAAUGUCUGGGAAACUGCCUGAUGGAGGGGGAUAACUACUGGAAACGGUAGCUAAUACCGCAUACCAUCAGAUGUGCCCAGAUGGGAUGAGCGUGUUGGGGGGGUAACGUAUCACCAAGUAGACGAGCCCUAGCUGGUCUGAGAGGAUGACCAGCAACACGGGAACUGAGAUGAGGGCCAGACUCGGACGGGAGGCAGCAGUGGAGAAUAUUGGACAAUGGGCGCAAGCCUGAUGCAGCCAUGCCGCGUGUAUGAAGAAGGCCUACGGGUUGUAAAGUACUUUCAGCGGGGAGGCGUUACCCACAGAAGAAGCACCGGCUAACUCCGUGCCAGCAGCCGCGGUAAUAC